rfam:Brachypodium distachyon strain Bd21 chromosome 2, whole genome shotgun sequence.
GUUGUACUCCCUCCGUCCGACAAAGAAUGUCUCAACUUUGAUUAAAUAUGAAUGCAUCUAUAUACUAAGUCAUGUCUAGAUAUAUCCAAAUUUUCACAAACUUGACACAUCUUUUGUUGGACGGAGGGAGUAUAUG